UACAGAGGUCCCAAGCGUUGUUCGGAUUCAUUGGGCGUAAAGGGUGCGUAGGUGGCGCUGUAAGUCGGGUGUGAAAUUUCGGAGCUUAACUCCGAAACUGCAUUCGAUACUGCGGUGCUCGAGGACUGGAGAGGAGACUGGAAUUCAUGGUGUAGCAGUGAAAUGCGUAGAGAUCAUGAGGAAGACCGGUGGCGAAGGCGGGUCUCUGGACAGUUCCUGACACUGAGGCACGAAGGCCAGGGGAGCAAACGGG
rnacentral:rRNA from 1 species